CGGUGGAGCCUGCGGUUUAAUUGGAUUCAACGCCGGAAAUCUCACCGGGGGCGACAGCAAUAUGAAGGUCAGGCUGAAGACUUACCCGAUUAGCUGAGAGGUGGUGCAUGGCCGUCGUCAGUUCGUACUGUGAAGCAUCCUGUUAAGUCGGGCAACGAGCGAGACCCACGUCCACAGUUGCCAGCAUACCCUCCGGGGUGAUGGGUACACUGUGGAGACCGCCGCUGCUAAAGCGGAGGAAGGAGUGGGCAACGGUAGGUCAGUAUGCCCCGAAUCUCCCGGGCUACACGCGGGCUACAAUGGUUGGUACAAUGGGCAUCUACCCCGAAAGGGGAAGGAAAUCUCUUAAAGCCAAUCGUAGUUCGGAUUGAGGGCUGCAACUCGCCCUCAUGAAGCUGGAAUCCGUAGUAAUCGCGUUUCAACAGAACGCGGUGAAUACGUCCCUGCUCCUU
rnacentral:rRNA from 1 species